rnacentral:rRNA from 1 species
CAAUAGCGUAUAUUAAAGUUGUUGCAGUUAAAAAGCUCGUAGUUGGACUUCUGCGGGUGGCGGCCGGUCGUGCUCGAAAAGGGCGUGAACUUGGCGUGCUGCCCGCAUCUUUGGGGAGAUUGUGCGUGGCAUUAAGUUGUCGUGCAUGGGAUUCUCAUCAUUUACUGUGAAAAAAUUAGAGUGUUUAAAGCAGGCCUUUGCCUUGAAUAUAUUAGCAUGGAAUAAUAAGAUAGGACCGUUGUCUAUUUUGUUGGUUUACAGAUGUCGGUAAUGAUUAAUAGGGAUAGUUGGGGGUAUUCGUAUUCAGUUGUCAGAGGUGAAAUUCUUGGAUUUUCGGAAGACGCACGACUGCGAAAGCAUUUACCAAGGAUGUUUUCAUUAA